rnacentral:rRNA from 1 species
UACAGAGACUGCAAGCGUUAUUCGGAUUCACUGGGCGUAAAGGGUGCGCAGGUGGCCGUGUGUGUCAGAUGUGAAAUCCCGGGGCUUAACUCCGGAACUGCGUCUGAAACUACACGGCUAGAGCAUUGGAGAGGGUAGUGGAAUUCACGGUGUAGCAGUGAAAUGCGUAGAUAUCGUGAGGAACACCAGAGGCGAAGGCGGCUUCCUGGACAAUUGCUGACGCUCAGGCACGAAAGCGUGGGGAGCAAAAGGG